UACGUAGGGUGCAAGCGUUGUCCGGAAUUAUUGGGCGUAAAGAGCUCGUAGGCGGCUCGUCGCGUCGACCGUGAAAACCCGCGGCUUAACUGCGGGCUUGCGGUUGAUACGGGCGGGCUAGAGUUCGGUAGGGGAGACUGGAAUUCCUGGUGUAGCGGUGAAAUGCGCAGAUAUCAGGAGGAACACCGGUGGCGAAGGCGGGUCUCUGGGCCGAUACUGACGCUGAGGAGCGAAAGCGUGGGGAGCGAACAGG
rnacentral:rRNA from 1 species